GCCCACGUAGCUCAGAAGGUGGAGCACGUCCUUGGUAAGGACGAGGUCAUCGGUUCAAGUCCGAUCGUGGGCU
rnacentral:tRNA from 2 species